rnacentral:rRNA from 1 species
GACGAACGCUGGCGGCGUGCUUAACACAUGCAAGUCGAACGGAAAGGCCCUGCUUUUGUGGGGUGCUCGAGUGGCGAACGGGUGAGUAACACGUGAGUAACCUGCCCUUGACUUUGGGAUAACUUCAGGAAACUGGGGCUAAUACCGGAUAGGAGCUCCUGCUGCAUGGUGGGGGUUGGAAAGUUUCGGCGGUUGGGGAUGGACUCGCGGCUUAUCAGCUUGUUGGUGGGGUAGUGGCUUACCAAGGCUUUGACGGGUAGCCGGCCUGAGAGGGUGACCGGCGACAUUGGGACUGAGAUAGGGCCCAGACUCCAACGGGAGGCAGCAGUGGGGAAUAUUGCACAAUGGGCGGAAGCCUGAUGCAGCAACGCGGCGUGCGGGAUGACGGCCUUCGGGUUGUAAACCGCUUUCGCCUGUGACGAAGCGUGAGUGACGGUAAUGGGUAAAGAAGCACCGGCUAACUACGUG